AUCGAACGCUGGCGGCAGGCCUAACGCAUGCAAGUCGAGCGGGGUUUUCGGACCUAGCGGCGGACGGGUGAGUAAUGCGUAGGAAGCUGCCCGAUAGAGGGGGAUACCAGUUGGAAACGACUGUUAAUACCGCAUAGUGUCUACGGACCAAAGUGUGGGACCUUCGGGCCACAUGCUAUCGGAUGCGCCUACGUGGGAUUAGCUAGUUGGUGAGGUAAUGGCUCACCAAGGCGACGAUCUCUAGCUGGUUUUAGAGGAUGAUCAGCCACGCUGGAACUGAGACACGGUCCAGACUCCUACGGGAGGUAGCAGUGGGGAAUAUUGGACAAUGGGCGCAAGCCUGAUCCAGCCAUGCCGCGUGUGUGAAGAAGGCCUUCGGGUUGUAAAGCACUUUCAGCGAGGAGGAAGGGUGGUGUGUUAAUAGCACAUCAUUUUGACGUUACUCGCAGAAGAAGCACCGGCUAACUCUGUGCCAGCCGCCGCAGUAAGAC
rnacentral:rRNA from 1 species